rnacentral:lncRNA from 1 species
UCUGUUCUCUUUCAGCUCUUUCCUCUUUGUUUCUGAUCUCCCACUAUUUUGCUUUAUCAAUCAGCCUAGACAAGGUGGGGACGUCUACUGCCAGUACUGCAUUAUAAAGUGGAGAAAUCAAACCCCGCCUGAAUCUUUCUAUCCUGGCAGCUUCAGUGGGGAUGAUGUAAGGAGCAUACUUCCCCAAUCUAGUGAACUCACGAGCAUACUCAGAUAUGCUCAU